UCUCUCUCUCUCUUUGUCUGUCUCUCUCGCUCUCUCUCUCUCUCUCUCUCUCUCCCCCAUUCCCCAUUCCUCCUUCCCCCAGACAGCAAGGAGGCACUGAGGGGUUUUUUUUGGACUCCUGGGUGGGUUUAUCAUCGCAAUAACUGGGCACCGAAAGGGGGUUGUCAUAAAUAUGACCACAGAAGAGGUGAGAGAGGCAGAAAAAGACAAAGAUGGUGCUCGCAUCAUCUGUGUGGAACAGCACAAGACCCAACGCUAUCACGGACAAGCGGCUGUUCCCCUCCACCGUCACGAGUAUGCCUGGAUGCAGCGAUACAACCAGCUAAGAGGUCAAGUUGAAGGAGUGUCUGCAGAGACCUUUUUUCACAACACCAAUGGGGGGGGUCCUGCUCAAGCUGCCAGAGCUCUUUCAAGCUGCUUGGAAGUCGAUGAAUUUGGGGUCUGCACCCACUUUCAACAUGUUGAGCGGAUGAUCCGACGGAGGACAUUCUUCAGAGCAGAGCACUGACAGUUCUGGCCAUUUCAACCUAUGCUCUGAAAAAAGGGGCCAAAGGUGGCGAAAAAGGUUCCAACAGAAGGAGAUAGAGACUUCUGGCCAAGAGGAGCAGGUGGAGGAGAAGGAAGAAGAGGAAGACCACGAGGCAGAAGAAGAGAAGGAGCAAGAAUUAGAAAGAUCUUACGACCUGCGCAAAAAGGAACCCGUGCCUUCAAGCCAACAAAGACAAAGAGUGAGCUCUUCUGAAGAGGACAAGAAGGACAAAGUUGCAGUAAAAGUACCCUGUAAGUAUCCAGCAGGCCUUUGUUAGUCCAGGUACAGCAGCGAUUUUAAAAUGUCCUCCACAAAAAACUUUUCCUGACCCAACCGAGAGGCAGAGCAAGCUUGAGCAGUUAUUGUUUCAUCAGUGAAGCCUAUGUAAGUUAAAAUAAGAAAAGAAAGAAAGAAGA